rnacentral:rRNA from 1 species
CCUGAGAAAUCCAAAAGUUCGAAUGGAGAGAUUCAGCGUCAGUGUUUGUCGGCUUGCGUGUGACUCGCGAUGUUUCGCCGUUACGAUAUUUUUUUUUAUAUUGCAACGCGGGACACGCGGUCGCUGCGUCAUGUUCCGACGGCGCCGGCGUGCACUUCUCUCCUAGUAGGACGUCGCGACCCGUUGGGUUUGUGCCACGUCGGUCAUUAUGGGCCCGUACGGUAGACUGUUGGGCUUACGCCCGAUAGACCAUCGGUGUAUCACCCGACCGACUGCCCGACGGUAUUGAAAACAAUGAAUCAUGAUUGGUAUCGAGCCGCAAAUUUUGAAUGCGUUCGGCUUGUCGAUUGUUACGGAGUCUCGCUCGGUAAUCAUGCGGACCUAGUGCCGUUGCCGUGGCGCUUGGCUCCUUCGAUCGUCAAUGUCCUCGAACAGGCUCGGAGCAUGCGCCUCGUGCGCUUGCUUACCGGUCGGCGACGCUUUUGCUUUGGAUACUUUCAGG